CCUACGGGUGGCAGCAGUGAGGAAUAUUGGUCAAUGGGCGGGAGCCUGAACCAGCCAAGUCGCGUGAGGGACGACGGUCCUAUGGAUUGUAAACCUCUUUUGUCGGGGAACAAAUGCGCCUACGGGUGGGCGGAUGAGUGUACCCGAAGAACAAGCAUCGGCUAACUCCGGGCCAGCAGCCGCGGUAAUACGGAGGCUGCGAGCGUUAUCCGGAUUUAUUGGGUUUAGGGGGUGCGUAGGCGGACAGUCAAGUCAGCGGUAAAAAUGCGGUGCUCAACGCCGUACAGCCGUUGAAACUGGCAGUCUUGAGUGGGCGAGAGGUAUGCGGAAUGCGUGGUGUAGCGGUGAAAUGCAUAGAUAUCACGAAGAACUCCGAUGGCGAAGGCAGCAUACCGGCGACCGACUGACGCUGAGGCACGAAAGCGUGGGUAUCGAACAGGAUUAGAUACCCUGGUAGUC
rnacentral:rRNA from 1 species